CUACGGGCGGCUGCAGUGAGGAAUAUUGCACAAUGGGGGAAACCCUGAUGCAGCAACGCCGCGUGGAGGAUGACGCAUUUCGGUGUGUAAACUCCUUUUAUAUGUCAAGAAAAUGACGGUAGCAUAUGAAUAAGCACCGGCUAACUCCGUGCCAGCAGCCGCGGUAAUACGGAGGGUGCAAGCGUUAUUCGGAAUCACUGGGCGUAAAGGACGCGUAGGCGGGUUAUCAAGUCAGGUGUGAAAUCCUACAGCUUAACUGUAGAACUGCACUUGAAACUGGUAGCCUAGAGUAUGGGAGGGGCAGAUGGAAUUAGUGGUGUAGGGGUAAAAUCCGUAGAUAUCACUAGGAAUACCGAAAGCGAAGGCGAUCUGCUGGAACAUUACUGACGCUAAGGCGUGAAAGCGUGGGGAGCAAACAGGAUUAGAUACCCCAGUAGUC
rnacentral:rRNA from 1 species